rnacentral:rRNA from 1 species
GUAGGUGGCAAGCGUUGUCCGGAAUUAUUGGGCGUAAAGCGCGCGCAGGCGGUUCUUUAAGUCUGAUGUGAAAGCCCACGGCUCAACCGUGGAGGGUCAUUGGAAACUGGAGAACUUGAGUACAGAAGAGGAAAGCGGAAUUCCACGUGUAGCGGUGAAAUGCGUAGAGAUGUGGAGGAACACCAGUGGCGAAGGCGGCUUUCUGGUCUGUAACUGACGCUGAGGCGCGAAAGCGUGGGGAGCAAACAGGGAUUAGAUACCCUGGUAGUCCACGCCGUAAACGAUGAGUGCUAAGUGUUAGGGGGGUUUCCGCCCCCCUUAGUGCUGCAGCUAACGCAUUAAGCACUCCGGCCUGGGGAUACGGCCGCAAGGCUG